rnacentral:rRNA from 1 species
UACAGAGGUCUCAAGCGUUGUUCGGAUUCAUUGGGCAUAAAGGGUGCGUAGGCGGCGCGGUAAGUCGGGUGUGAAAUCUCGGGGCUUAACUCCGAAACUGCAUUCGAUACUGCCGUGCUUGAGGACUGGAGAGGAGACUGGAAUUUACGGUGUAGCAGUGAAAUGCGUAGAUAUCGUAAGGAAGACCAGUGGCGAAGGCGGGUCUCUGGACAGUUCCUGACGCUGAGACACGAAGGCCAGGGGAGCAAACGGG